UGGGGAAUAUUGCACAAUGGGCGCAAGCCUGAUGCAGCCAUGCCGCGUGUGUGAAGAAGGCCUUCGGGUUGUAAAGCACUUUCAGCGAGGAGGAAGGUGGUGAACUUAAUACGUUCAUCAAUUGACGUUACUCGCAGAAGAAGCACCGGCUAACUCCGUGCCAGCAGCCGCGGUAAUACGGAGGGUGCAAGCGUUAAUCGGAAUUACUGGGCGUAAAGCGCACGCAGGCGGUUUGUUAAGUCAGAUGUGAAAUCCCCGGGCUCAACCUGGGAACUGCAUUUGAAACUGGCAAGCUAGAGUCUCGUAGAGGGGGGUAGAAUUCCAGGUGUAGCGGUGAAAUGCGUAGAGAUCUGGAGGAAUACCGGUGGCGAAGGCGGCCCCCUGGACGAAGACUGACGCUCAGGUGCGAAAAGCGUGGGGAGCAAACAGGAUUAGAUACCCCUGGUAGUCCACGCUGUAAAACGAUGUCGAUUUUGGAGGUUGUGCCCUUGAGGCGUGGCUUCCGGAGCUAACGCGUUAAAUCGACCGCCUGGGGAGUACGGCCGCAAGGUUAAAACUCAAAUGAAUUGACGGGGUCAUAGCUGUUUCCU
rnacentral:rRNA from 1 species